rnacentral:rRNA from 1 species
GAUGAACGCUGGCGGCGUGCCUAAUACAUGCAAGUCGAGCGAACGGACGAGAAGCUUGCUUCUCUGAUGUUAGCGGCGGACGGGUGAGUAACACGUGGAUAACCUACCUAUAAGACUGGGAUAACUUCGGGAAACCGGAGCUAAUACCGGAGAAUAUUUUGAACCGCAUGGUUCAAAGGUGAAAGACGGUCUUGCUGGCACUUCUAGAUGGAUCCGUGCUGCAUUGGCUAGUUGGUAAGGUAAAGGCUUACCAAGGCAACGAGGCAUAGCCGACCUGAGAGGGUGAUCGGCCACACUGGAACUGAGACACGGUCCAGACUCCUACGGGAGGCAGCAGUAGGGAAUCUUCCGCAAUGGGCGAAAGCCUGACGGAGCAACGCCGAGUGAGUGAUGAAGGUCCUCGGAUCGUAAAACUCUGUUAUUAGGGAAGAACAGAUGUGUAAGUAACUGUGCCCAGCGUGACGGUACCUAAUCAGAAAGCCACGGCUAACUACGUG